AGCUAAUUAGUUUAAUUAAAAUUUUUAUUUGUGGUAUAAAAGAUUGUUUAGCUU
rnacentral:tRNA from 1 species